rnacentral:rRNA from 1 species
AUGCGCUCCAAGGCGACGCCUUCAGAAAGGAUACGACGCCGGAGCGCCGCCAUCGCCCGAUCCAAGGAUCAGAGUUUCCCCCAGAGCCGCAUGACGGGCAAUGAGAGCCGCGACGACGCCUUCAAGAAGGGAACGAUCUUCCCCGCCGCAGGUCCGUCCGAAGAUAGAGCAGGUUUUCACCUCGGCCAACAAUCAUCGCCACCGAACGCCACAACCCGGCAACCACGCCGCCCACACGACCAUGAUGACCGGGCAGCACCAAGGCACGGGCUUUGUCCAAGAGCACCGCGCAACCACCACCACCAGGGCCGCCGCCCCAGCAUCCAAGACCUCGACAUCACCUCACCCGUGACCCGCCGCACCCCACCUUUCGCACCCCUGGGCGACCACCAGCGUCGAGACCCAAUAGGUCGGCCAGAACUGGUAUCCACCGACCCAUCCUGCUGCCCCAAGCGCGAGAUGAGCUCGGUCCUGCAGCAAUGA